UACGUAGGGGGCAAGCGUUGUCCGGAUUUACUGGGCGUAAAGAGCGCGCAGGCGGUCGUUCAAGUCGCGUGUGAAAGCCCCCGGCUCAACUGGGGAGGGUCACGCGAUACUGAUCGACUCGAAGGCAGGAGAGGGAAGUGGAAUUCCCGGUGUAGUGGUGAAAUGCGUAGAUAUCGGGAGGAACACCAGUGGCGAAGGCGACUUCCUGGCCUGUUCUUGACGCUGAGGCGCGAAAGCGUGGGGAGCAAACAGG
rnacentral:rRNA from 1 species